CAAGGCUUGACAUAUACCGGAAAAGGCUGGAACCAGUCUCCCCGCAAGGUCGGUACACAGGUGGUGCAUGGUUGUCGUCAGCUCGUGUCGUAGAUGUUGGGUUAAGUCCCGCAACGAGCGCAACCCUUCGUUCUAUGUUGCCAGCACGUAAUGGUGGGAACUCAUAGGAGACUGCCGGGGUCAACUCGGAGGAAGGUGGGGAUGACGUCAAAUCAUCAUGCCCCUUAUGUCUUGGGCUUCACGCAUGCUACAAUGCCGGUACAAAGGGCUGCAAUACCGUAAGGUGGAGCGAAUCCCAAAAAGCCGGUCUCAGUUCGGAUUGAGGUCUGCAACUCGACCUCAUGAAGUCGGAGUCGCUAGUAAUCGCAGAUCAGCAACGCUGCGGUGAAUACGUUCCCGGGCCUUGUACACACCGCCCGUCAAGUCAUGAAAGUCGGUAACACCCGAAGCCAGUGGCCCAACCGCAAGGAGGGAGCUGUCGAAGGUGGGAUUGGUAAUUAGGACU
rnacentral:rRNA from 1 species